CGGAGGGUGCAAGCGUUGUCCGGAUUUAUUGGGUUUAAAGGGUGCGCAGGUGGUUCUGUAAGUCUGAUUUGAAAGCCGGCGGCUUAACCGUCGGAUGUGGUUGGAAACUGUGGAACUUGAAUGGCGUAGCGGGAGCCGGAAUGGGUCAUGUAGCGGUGAAAUGCAUAGAUAUGACCCGGAACACCGAUUGCGAAGGCAGGCUCCUGGGCGUCGAUUGACACUGAGGCACGAAAGCAUGGGUAGCGAACAGGAUU
rnacentral:rRNA from 1 species